GUUUUUGGUGGUGUCUUUGUCUGGCUUUGGUUGAGAUUUUCAGGUUAACUCGAGAGUGCCUUUGGCCAAGAGGAGGGGUCUAUUCAUAUCAUUGGGAGCCUUAGAAUUUUAUUUUUGGUUUACAGUGAGAAUGUACCAGUAAAGUCAUCUGGUCCUGGGCUUACUUUCUUUUUUUGUUAUUGACACAUAAUAAUUAUACAUAUUCAUGGGUUAUAAUGCUAUGUUUUGAUACUUGUAUAUAUUGUCUAAUGAACAAAUUAGGUAAUUAGUAUAUCAAUCACCUUAAACAUGUAUCAUUACUUUGUUGUGAGAACAUUCAAAUCCUCUCUUCUAGCUAUUCAAACUAUGCAAUGCAUUAUUCUUAGUCGUAGUCACUCUAAUGUGCAAUAGAGUACCAAAAGUUAUUUCUCCUAACUGCAAAAUUGUACCCAUUGACCAACCUCUCUCCAUCUACCCCUCCCCACUAGUUCUCUCCAGUCUUCGAUAACCACUGUUUUACUCUCAAAUUCUAUGAGACAUUCUUUUUAGAGUAUACAUGUGAGUGAGAUAAUGUGGUAUUUGUCUUUCUGUGCCUGGCUUAUUUUGCUUAAUAUAAUGUCCUUCAGGCUCAUCCAUGUUAUAGAAAAUAUUAAGAGUUUA
rnacentral:lncRNA from 1 species